rnacentral:rRNA from 1 species
UACAGAGGGUGCGAGCGUUAAUCGGAAUUACUGGGCGUAAAGCGCACGUAGUCGGCUUUGCAAGUCGGGUGUGAAAUCCCCGGGCUUAACCUGGGAAUGGCAUUGGUGACUGCACGGCUAGAGUGUGUCAGAGGGGGGUAGAAUUCCACGUGUAGCAGUGAAAUGCGUAGAGAUGUGGAGGAAUACCGAUGGCGAAGGCAGCCCCCUGGGAUAACACUGACGCUCAUGCACGAAAGCGUGGGGAGCAAACAGG